GCAGGUGCGUGGUAGUGAGCCGGGGGAAUAGGUGGGGGGGAAGGGGUUGCCGGAUGUACUGGGUAUAAAGGGUGUGUAGUCUGGCAAUUAAGUCAGGGGUGAAAUCCCGGAGCUCAACUCCGGAACUGCCUGUGAUACUAGUUGUCUUGAAUGUUGUUGAUGUGGGCGGAACGGGUCAUGUAGCGGUGAAAUGCAUAGAUAUGACCCGGAACACCGAUUGCGAAGGCAGCCCGCUAAGCAACUAUUGACGCUGAGGCACGAAAGCGUGGGGAUCAAACAGGAUUAGAUACCCGAGUAGUC
rnacentral:rRNA from 1 species